UGGAAAUCUAAUUAGCAUAAUAAUAAAACAUUUGUCUGUUUAAGCUAGAGCUAUCUGCAUGGGCUGCAUCCCAAUCCACCGCAUCUGAGGUGAAAGGUGGCAAAGCUACAGCUGUGUUUGUCUGACCAUGAGACAUCUGGAAAAUUGGUCUUCUCACGCAAAUGUCUGUAGCCUCCGAACGGUUUGGCCUAUAAACUAUUAUGACCCCACUAUGGAAAGGCGAGACUCAUGUCAGUGGUUUUGCUCUACAACCCCCACAAGCUUCAUGGGACUCGUAUGAAGUCGUAUUAUUUUACCAGAACCGGUACAACCAGGCCAAGCUGAGUAUGCAUGACCAGGCUCUGAAGGUGUCAGCAGUGGUAGAAAGUCUGGAGAGGGAGAUGGAGCUUCUGUGUUUGAUUGGGGUUGAGGUCGACAUCAGGCCAAGCCUGGAGCUCCUCAGCAAUGCUGGAAUCAAACUGUGAAUAUAUGGAUGCUUACUGGGGAUAAGCUGGAGACAGCUACUUGUAUCGCUAAAAGCUCCCAUUUGGUGUCCAGAAGUGAAGAUUGGUCUCCAACGGUGGAGAGGCCCAUCUGGAGCUCAAUGCCUUCAGAAGGAAACACGACUGUGCUCUGGUCGUCUCUGGAGACUCCUUGGCGGUACUACAACACAACACACUUCUCACAAGCCUCUCAAGAUGGUACUGUAGAUGUAGCCAAAAAUAUUCUGGUGUCAAAACUAAAACCUUUUGAGUCCAAAACUGCAAGAAGAGCAACAAAGCACAUCAGUUAUGAUUUUAUAAGCAAAACAAACUACAUUUUAUCACUGUUGAUCUGAAGAGAUGGUACAGUAAGUAAUAUGUGAGUGUGCUUGUGGGUUCAGAUGUGUUUGCAUUUUCCAAAUCCAUAUGUUUAUCUUCCCACAUAGUCUGCGGGACUAUGAGCAUGAGUUUGUGGAACUGGCGUGUCAGUGUCCAGCGGUAGUCUGCUGUCGCUGCUCCCCCACUCAGAAAGCCCAGAUCGUCCACCUGCUCAAGCACCACACAGCCAACCGAACCUGUUCCACCUAUGGCACAGGUUUUGUAACAACUAACCACUCUCAUCCUUUGAGACACAGAACUGCUACAAUGAUCUGUGUACAAUGAAUGCCAAAUUAUAAAGUAGAUUGUAGAAAAUGCCUACCAGUAAUAUACCUGUAUCUCACUAUUGACUACUUUGUUUUGAAAAUGAAGAAACUAGACCCAGUAUGAGAAGGUACACCCCUAUUAUGUCCACAAUUAAAGAGCAUAAGCAUCUCUGUUAACAUUGUUUUGUCCUGGGGCAUAAGCCUUAUCUCCAUAUUGCUCUUUUACAUGCUAUUAUUGAACCUGUGGCUGACAUGUGGCUCUCUUGUCUCUCACAUGUGAUGAAGGUAAUGAUGUCAAUAUGAUCCAGGCAGCAGACUGUGGUAUUGGUAUUGAAGGAAAGGUUAAUAAUCCAUAUUACGCCUCUUACCUUAUCCAUUUAUUAUUACAUGAAAUAGUAAAAACAUGAUUUUUUAAACAAAAAUGCAAAACCUGUUACGGGCCCCA
ensembl:lncRNA